GCACAACACCUCCUUGUCGUUCCCUCCCUGCGCGCGCCCCUGCGGCUAACCCCAGCCGCCAACUCGUGUUGGGGACACUGAGGAUGGGAGCGGGGCAGCCGCGUCGCUGAGGGGUUGGACCGGCUGGGUCGUCACCGCUUGGGUGGUGAAGUAGGGGCAACGGUGGUGCCGUGUUGGGGCGGAGGAGAAGGAUGGAGACGACGGGCGAAGACAUUGUUGGCGUCGGCGGCGAAUCUGGUAGAGCCCCUCUCUCUUCCCAAGCCUGCCCCUCUCACCCUCUUCCUCAAGCGGCAAGACCCCAGGGGGAUGGAGGCCUGACGACGCGGGCGUUGGUGCGCUUGCGUGGCGGUCUGGCGGUGGCCGGAGGACGCCCAUCCCAGCCAGAAGCAGCAGAAGGCAACUGAAAAGUGGAGCAGAUCAAGCACCCGGGGUCACCUGAGGCGGCUCGGUGCACCUCCAAGUGCGUCAGUAGCUGCGUCCUCCGUGGAGCCGGCGCUCCCGGCAUCAUCAGGCCCUUCAACGUCAGAAGACCCCUGAUGGUGUUCAAGGAAGUUUUCCGCAGCUGGCAGUAGUGCUACGUAUGUGAUGUAGAGCAGUUCGGACCAUGGAAUUCUUCUACUCGAUUCAGAACAGCAUCAGUGUAAUGUGUUUGUCUGUACAAGUGGUCUGACACCUACGUCCUAAUCAUGGACGAAGAAGACAAAGACAAUGAUCCAUGGUAUCAUCAACAUGUAUGCUGCAGCUAACAAAGGGAGGGCAAUAAUUUUAAGUGAGGCUGCGGACGGGAUGAACCAAACUCUUGCACCCGAUAUGCAGGCAAGUAAUCUCUUACCCUUAAAUUCCCUGGAUUGUUUUACAGUUCAUUAAAUCCAUUCUCCAAGAAAACAAUUAUUUAUGUUUCUAUAUCAAGAAUAAUAUUCUUAACUGGAUUAUGAGCAAAAAGAAGGGAAGGUGAUUAGGACUGCAUUCAGAGUCAAACCUUAGACAAUAGGCAAUAGUGAAUUUUUUUGUUUGCCAAUGAAAUCAGAUGAUGUUUCUCACAAAGAUGGUACACAUAGUGUGUUGUCUGUUGUUUCUUCAUAACACAUGCUAAAUAUCGGAUUAUCUUCAUUGUAUAGCUAAUCCUUCUGCCCUCUGCAUUAGGCGAAGGCAUAAGCCUAGGUUCAGAAUAUAUUAUUAUAUGUUGGACAGUUUAGUAUUUACCAUCUUCCUAGAUUAUUCUAUUAUUGUUGAAUGUAUAAUCGUUUCUUAAUCAGAAUUAAGAAAAUCUUUCCGACCAAAAUAAUUAAGCAUGUAUGAAGUACUCCAGACUAGCGAUUUUUAUAUUUAAAGAAAACCGUAUGAAAAUUUUCAUGUAACUGUUACCGUGUAACUAAUCUUCAUUUCUAACAAAAAGCGUAUGAUAUUUCCUUUCAAAAUAUAAGGAGAAAUUUUCAGCUAGGACAAACAUAAGUGUAGUUUUACAUGAUACAAAAGGAAAUUAUUGCGUGCCAAGUAUAUACAUGUUUAGCAUUUUGUACAUCGAAUUGGGCACACACACAAUUGUUUCUGGUAACUGUUCUAUGCAAGGGAUAUAUGAGGUCACCGAGGAGAUCCUUACUGCAAUCCCAUGCCUCAACGCCCAAUGGUCCUACAAUCUAGGAUGUCAGGAAUGUGGCUAUGCUCUACGACAGUGAUGUAAGGGAGAAGUGGCAACACAAAUGAGUUGUUACGAGAGUUCAAGAAUUUGUUACUCCCGUUACAACGCACGGGCAUGUGAGAGAAAAUAUUCUGCCAGAGCUCUCCUAGCGCGUCCACUUUCUUCCGUGGCCAGCAGCAGCGACAAAAAUUCUGGGCACUUAGGGACACCUCACCACUGGAUGAAACUCACAAUGACCGGAAUCUACAACGUCCAGUGUGUCAUGGCGUCCCUCCUCUAGCUCACUCAUGGUUAUCACCGUCUUUGUCGCCCUUUCACAAAUCCCUAUGGGGGAAAUAAUGUAUGACAUGUGUUGCCUACUUGAUUCUGGCUUUACAGAUCUUCGCACGUGACCUGCGGUGAGGACCAGUUUCUUAGGGGACAUAGUUGAAGAGCAGCAUUGAUUGGUGCGUGGUGACCUGUGGCGCCUGAGGGCAUCCGGAUGUUGGUAGACACACUAAGUUGCGGCGGCCACCAGCUGCAGUAGCUGCACUACAGGGCGGCGGGCGGCAGUAGCAAGAUGAGGCAGCGACCAGCAGCAGCUGCACUACGGGGCGGCGUUAGCAAGUAGCAGCAGUAAGGCGAGGCAGUGGGGAGCAGCGGAACAACCAUGCAAACUGCAAGAAGAAUGAAGCAGCGGUUGCAACAUAUGGUGAAUCAUCAGUUUACAGAUACCCAUGAGAUGAAAUACCAUGCUAUCUUUUAGUCAGAUAAGUUGAUGACAUGUGCCAAAUUAUACAUGAGCUUAUCACUAUGUGUGUUCUGGUUAUAUAUUAACAAGAAUAGCAGAGGAACCGAUGGCAAAAAUAAGGAACAAUAUUU